GACGAACCGUGCGAACGUUAUUCGGAAUCACUGGGCUUAAAGCGCGUGUAGGCGGGAGGGCACGUCGGUCGCUGAAAUCCCCCGGCUCAACCGGGGAACGGGCGCCGAUACGACCUUCCUGGAGGGACGUAGGGGGACCUGGAACUUCCGGUGGAGCGGUGAAAUGCGUUGAGAUCGGAAGGAACGCCCGUGGCGAAAGCGAGGUCCUGGACGUUUUCUGACGCUGAGACGCGAAAGCCAGGGGAGCGAACGGG
rnacentral:rRNA from 1 species